rnacentral:rRNA from 1 species
UACGGAGGAUGCGAGCGUUAUCCGGAUUUAUUGGGUUUAAAGGGUACGUAGGCGGGCUUUUAAGUCAGCGGUAAAAAUUCGGGGCUCAACCCCGUCCGGCCGUUGAAACUGGGGGCCUUGAGUGGGCGAGAAGAAGGCGGAAUGCGUGGUGUAGCGGUGAAAUGCAUAGAUAUCACGCAGAACCCCGAUUGCGAAGGCAGCCUUCCGGCGCCCUACUGACGCUGAGGCACGAAAGUGCGGGGAUCGAACAGG